rnacentral:rRNA from 1 species
AUUGAACGCUGGCGGCAGGCUUAACACAUGCAAGUCGAGCGGAGCGAGGGUGCUUGCACCUUAGCUUAGCGGCGGACGGGUGAGUAAUGCUUAGGAAUCUGCCUAUCAGUGGGGGACAACAUUCCGAAAGGAAUGCUAAUACCGCAUACGCCCUACGGGGGAAAGCAGGGGAUCUUCGGACCUUGCGCUAAUAGAUGGGCCUAAGUCGGAUGAGCUAGUUGGUGGGGUAAAGGCCUACCAAGGCGACGAUCUGUAGCGGGUCUGAGAGGAUGAUCCGCCACACUGGGACUGAGGCACGGCCCAGACUCCUACGGGAGGCAGCAGUGGGGAAUAUUGGACAAUGGGCGGAAGCCUGAUCCAGCCAUGCCGCGUGUGUGAGGAAGGCCUUUUGGUUGUAAAGCACUUUAAGCGAGGAGGAGGCUACUGGUACUAAUACUACUGGAUAGUGGACGUUACUCGCAGAAUAAGCACCGGCUAACUCUGUGCCAGCCGCCGCAGUAACAC